rnacentral:rRNA from 1 species
CCCACCAAGGCGACGAUCAGUAGGGGUUCUGAGAGGAAGGUCCCCCACAUUGGAACUGAGACACGGUCCAAACUCCUACGGGAGGCAGCAGUGAGGAAUAUUGGUCAAUGGACGAGAGUCUGAACCAGCCAAGUAGCGUGCAGGAUGACGGCCCUAUGGGUUGUAAACUGCUUUUAUAAGGGAAUAAAGUGAGUCUCGUGAGACUUUUUGCAUGUACCUUAUGAAUAAGGACCGGCUAAUUCCGUGCCAGCAGCCGCGGUAAUACGGAAGGUCCGGGCGUUAUCCGGAUUUAUUGGGUUUAAAGGGAGCGUAGGCCGGAGAUUAAGCGUGUUGUGAAAUGUAGACGCUCAACGUCUGCACUGCAGCGCGAACUGGUUUCCUUGAGUACGCACAAAGUGGGCGGAAUUCGUGGUGUAGCGGUGAAAUGCUUAGAUAUCACGAAGAACUCCGAUUGCGAAGGCAGCUCACUGGAGCGCAACUGACGCUGAAGCUCGAAAGUGCGGGUAUCGAACAGGAUUAGAUACCCUGGUAGUCCGCACGGUAAACGAUGGAUGCCCGCUGUUGGUCUGAAUAGGUCAGCGGCCAAGCGAAAGCAUUAAGCAUCCCACCUGGGG